UACAGAGGGGGCAAACGUUGCUCGGAAUUAUUGGGCGUAAAGCGCACGUAGGCGGCUUAGUAAGUUGGAUGUGAAAUCCCUCGGCUUAACCAAGGAAGUGCAUCCAAAACUACUGAGCUUGAGUACUAAAGAGGAUCGCGGAAUUCCCGGUGUAGAGGUGAAAUUCGUAGAUAUCGGGAGGAACACCAGUGGCGAAGGCGGCGAUCUGGGUAGAUACUGACGCUGAGGUGCGAAAGCGUGGGGAGCAAACAGG
rnacentral:rRNA from 1 species